CCUACGGGUGGCAGCAGUGGGGAAUAUUGGGCAAUGGGCGCAAGCCUGACCCAGCAACGCCGCGUGAAGGAAGAAGGCUUUCGGGUUGUAAACUUCCUUUGUCAGGGAAGAGUAGAAGACGGUACCUGACGAAUAAGCCACGGCUAACUAAGUGCCAGCAGCCACGGUAAUACGUAGGUGGCAAGCGUUGUCCGGAUUUACUGGGGGUAAAGGGCGUGUAGCCGGGUUGACAAGUCAGAUGUGAAAUCCUGCGGCUUAACCGCAGAACUGCAUUUGAAACUGUUUAUCUUGAGUACGCGAGAGGCAGACGGAAUUCCUAGUGUAGCGGUGAAAUGCGUAGAUAUUAGGAGGAACACCAGUGGCGAAGGCGGUCUGCUGGACAGCAACUGACGGUGAGGCGCGAAAGCGUGGGGAGCGAACAGGAUUAGAUACCCUUGUAGUC
rnacentral:rRNA from 1 species